rnacentral:rRNA from 1 species
GGACCCGCACAAGCAGUGGAGCAUGUGGUUUAAUUCGAAGAUACGCGCAGAACCUUACCAACGCUUGACAUGUUCGUCGCGAGACUAAGAGAUUAGUUUCUUCAGUUCGGCUGGACGAAACACAGGUGCUGCAUGGCUGUCGUCAGCUCGUGUCGUGAGAUGUUGGGUUAAGUCCCGCAACGAGCGCAACCCCCUACUUUUUAGUUGCCACCAUUUAGUUGGGCACUUUAAAAGAACUGCCAGUGAUAAGCUGGAGGAAGGUGGGGGAUGACGUCAAGUCCUCAUGGCCCUUAUGUGUUGGGCUACACACGUGCUACAAUGGCACUUACAAUGGGACGCAAAGAGGCGACUCU